GAUCCUGGCUCAGGAUGAACGCUAGCUACAGGCUUAACACAGUGCAAGUCGAGGGGCAGCAUGAAGUUUGCUGCAAACUUGAUGGCGACCGGCGCACGGGUGAGUAACGCGUAUCCAACCUUCCCUAUACGUAGAGGAUAGCCCGGCGAAAAGUCGGAUUAAUACUCUAUGUUCUUCGUAGAAGACAUCUGAAAUGAAGCAAAGGUUUACCGGUAUAGGAUGGGGAUGCGUCUGAUUAGGUGUUGGCGGGUAACGGCCACCAAGCCUACGAUCAGUAGGGGUUCUGAGAGGAAGGUCCCCCACAUUGGAACUGAGACACGGUCCAAACUCCUACGGGAGGCAGCAGUGAGGAAUAUUGGUCAAUGGACGAGAGUCUGAACCAGCCAAGUAGCGUGCCAGGAUGACGGCCCUAUGGGUUGUAAACUGCUUUUAUACAGGGAUAAAGUGCACUACGUGUAGUGUUUUGUAGGUACUGUAUGAAUAAGGACCGGCUAAUUCCGUGCCAGCCGCUGC
rnacentral:rRNA from 1 species